rnacentral:tRNA from 1 species
GGGGUCAAUGGUAGAGCAUUUGUUUGGUAUGCAGAAGGUCCCAGAUUAAAUUCCUGGGUUCAGCC